rnacentral:rRNA from 1 species
UUUCCGUAGGUGAACCUGCGGAAGGAUCAUUACCGAGUGAGGGCCCUCUGGGUCCAACCUCCCACCCGUGUUUAUUUACCUUGUUGCUUCGGCGGGCCCGCCUUAACUGGCCGCCGGGGGGCUUACGCCCCCGGGCCCGCGCCCGCCGAAGACACCCUCGAACUCUGUCUGAAGAUUGUAGUCUGAGUAUAAAUAUAAAUUAUUUAAAACUUUCAACAACGGAUCUCUUGGUUCCGGCAUCGAUGAAGAACGCAGCGAAAUGCGAUACGUAAUGUGAAUUGCAAAUUCAGUGAAUCAUCGAGUCUUUGAACGCACAUUGCGCCCCCUGGUAUUCCGGGGGGCAUGCCUGUCCGAGCGUCAUUGCUGCCCUCAAGCCCGGCUUGUGUGUUGGGCCCCGUCCUCCGAUUCCGGGGGACGGGCCCGAAAGGCAGCGGCGGCACCGCGUCCGGUCCUCGAGCGUAUGGGGCUUUGUCACCCGCUCUGUAGGCCCGGCCGGCGCUUGCCGAUCAACCCAAAUUUUUAUCCAGGUUGACCUCGGAUCAGGUAGGGAUACCCGCUGAACUUAA